rnacentral:rRNA from 1 species
UCAACCUGGUUGAUCCUGCCAGUAGCAUAUGCUUGUCUCAAAGAUUAAGCCAUGCAUGUCUCAGUGUAAACCCUUGUAUGGUGAAACUGCGAAUGGCUCAUUACAUCAGUGAUGAUUUACUUGAUAGUGGUCAGCACAAGGAUAACUGUGCUAACGGUAGAGCUAAUACUUGCAACAAAUCCCGCGUUGAGGGA